AACGAACGCUGGCGGCGCGCUUAACACAUGCAAGUCGAACGAGAAGGCGUAGCAAUACGCUUGUAAAGUGGCGAACGGGUGAGGAAUACAUGGGUAACCUACCCUCGAGUGGGGGAUAACCCGCCGAAAGGCGGGCUAAUACCGCGUACGCUUCCGAUCUUGCGGGAUCGGAAGAAAGCUGUCCCAAGGGGAUGGCGCUCAAGGAUGGGCUCAUGUCCUAUCAGCUUGUUGGUAGGAACGGCCUACCAAGGCAUCGACGGGUAGCUGGUCUGAGAGGACGAUCAGCCACACUGGCACUGCGACACGGGCCAGGACUCCUACGGGAGGCAGCAGUGAGGAAUAUUGCGCAAUGGGCAAAGCCUGACGCAGCGACGCCGCGUGGGGGAU
rnacentral:rRNA from 1 species